GCGGAUGAGGAGAGCUUGCUCUCUGAUUCAGCGGCGGACGGGUGAGUAAUGCCUAGGAAUCUGCCUGGUAGUGGGGGACAACGUUUCGAAAGGAACGCUAAUACCGCAUACGUCCUACGGGAGAAAGUGGGGGAUCUUCGGACCUCACGCUAUCAGAUGAGCCUAGGUCGGAUUAGCUAGUUGGUGGGGUAACGGCUCACCAAGGCGACGAUCCGUAACUGGUCUGAGAGGAUGAUCAGUCACACUGGAACUGAGACACGGUCCAGACUCCUACGGGAGGCAGCAGUGGGGAAUAUUGGACAAUGGGCGAAAGCCUGAUCCAGCCAUGCCGCGUGUGUGAAGAAGGCCCUCGGGUCGUAAAGCACUUUAAGCUGGGAGGAAGGGUUGUAAGCGAAUACCUUGCAAUUUUGACGUUACCAGCAGAAUAAGCACCGGCUAACUCUGUGCCAGCAGCCGCGGUAAUACAGAGGGUGCAAGCGUUAAUCGGAAUUACUGGGCGUAAAGCGCGCGUAGGUGGCUUGAUAAGUUGGAUGUGAAAUCCCCGGGCUCAACCUGGGAACUGCAUCCAAAACUGUCUGGCUAGAGUACGGUAGAGGGUGGUGGAAUUUCCUGUGUAGCGGUGAAAUGCGUAGAUAUAGGAAGGAACACCAGUGGCGAAGGCGACCACCUGGACUGAUACUGACACUGAGGUGCGAAAGCGUGGGGAGCAAACA
rnacentral:rRNA from 1 species